GACGAACGCUGGCGGCACGCUUAACACAUGCAAGUCGAACGAGAGAAGAGAAGCUUGCUUUUCUGAUCUAGUGGCGGACGGGUGAGUAACACGUGAGCAAUCUGCCUUUCAGAGGGGGAUACCGAUUGGAAACGAUCGUUAAUACCGCAUAACAUAAUUGAACCGCAUGAUUUGAUUAUCAAAGAUUUAUCGCUGAAAGAUGAGCUCGCGUCUGAUUAGCUAGUUGGUAAGGUAACGGCUUACCAAGGCGACGAUCAGUAGCCGGACUGAGAGGUUGAUCGGCCACAUUGGGACUGAGACACGGCCCAGACUCCUACGGGAGGCAGCAGUGGGGAAUAUUGCACAAUGGAGGAAACUCUGAUGCAGCGAUGCCGCGUGAGGGAAGAAGGUUUUCGGAUUGUAAACUCCUGUCGUUAGGGACGAUAAUGACGGUACCUAACAAGAAAGCACCGGCUAACUACGUG
rnacentral:rRNA from 1 species